UAGAGUCUGAUCCUGGCUCAGAUUGAACGCUGGCGGCAGGCCUAACACAUGCAAGUCGAGCGUGAAAGCACUUCGGUGUGAGUAGAGCGGCGGACGGGUGAGUAAUGCUUGGGAAUCUGCCCAGUAGUGGGGGAUAACCUGUGGAAACGCAGGCUAAUACCGCAUACGUCCUACGGGAGAAAGCAGGGGAUCUUCGGACCUUGCGCUAUUGGAUGAGCCCAAGUCGGAUUAGCUUGUUGGUGGGGUAAUGGCCUACCAAGGCGACGAUCCGUAGCUGGUCUGAGAGGAUGAUCAGCCACACUGGGACUGAGACACGGCCCAGACUCCUACGGGAGGCAGCAGUGGGGAAUAUUGCACAAUGGGCGAAAGCCUGAUGCAGCCAUGCCGCGUGUGUGAAGAAGGCUCUAGGGUUGUAAAGCACUUUCAGUAGGGAGGAAAUGUUAACGGUUAAUACCCGUUAGCUUUGACGUUACCUACAGAAGAAGCACCGGCAAACUCCGUGCCAGCAGCCGCGGUAAUACGGAGGGUGCGAGCGUUAAUCGGAAUUACUGGGCGUAAAGCGCGCGU
rnacentral:rRNA from 1 species